AGCGGCGGAUGGGUGAGUAACACGUGGGGAACCUGCCCCUAAGUCUGGGAUACCAUUUGGAAACAGGUGCUAAUACCGGAUAAUAAAGCAGAUCGCAUGAUCAGCUUUUGAAAGGCGGCGUAAGCUGUCGCUAAGGGAUGGCCCCGCGGUGCAUUAGCUAGUUGGUAAGGUAACGGCUUACCAAGGCGACGAUGCAUAGCCGAGUUGAGAGACUGACCGGCCACAUUGGGACUGAGACACGGCCCAAACUCCUACGGGAGGCAGCAGUAGGGAAUCUUCCACAAUGGACGCAAGUCUGAUGGAGCAACGCCGCGUGAGUGUAGAAGGUUUUCGGAUCGUAAAGCUCUGUUGUUGGUGAAGAAGGAUAGAGGUAGUAACUGGCCUUUAUUUGACGGUAAUCAACCAGAAAGUCACGGCUAACUACGUGCCAGCAGCCGCGGUAAUACGUAGGUGGCAAGCGUUGUCCGGAUUUAUUGGGCGUAAAGCGAGCGCAGGCGGAAAAAUAAGUCUAAUGUGAAAGCCCUCGGCUUAACCGAGGAACUGCAUCGGAAACUGUUUUUCUUGAGUGCAGAAGAGGAGAGUGGAACUCCAUGUGUAGCGGUGGAAUGCGUAGAUAUAUGGAAGAACACCAGUGGCGAACGCGGCUCUCUGGUCUGCAACUGACGCUGAGGCUCGAAAGCAUGGGUAGCGAACAGGAUUAGAUACCCUGGUAGUCCAUGCCGUAAACGAUGGGUGCUAGGUGU
rnacentral:rRNA from 1 species